rnacentral:lncRNA from 1 species
GAGUACGACAAGUCAUACUCAGCAAGUAGGUACUUCACUAUUCAACAAGAGUAGAAUUUAAAGAUAUUGAUACAGUAACAACGGGUUGACUGUAUCUAAAGGAGCAUAAAUAACGUGACAAAUUGCUGGGGCCAAUUUCAUUGGAAAUAGGUAAAAGAACGUCAUAACCGGAUAUAAUGAAAAUGGACCAAGAAAUUAUUGGCAUCACACAUGACCGCAAGCUUCCCAACCCGGGAGUCACAGGGGUGAAAUUUCACACUUUUACGCUCUUAAGAGGGGUACUCCGACGUCAACAACCUCGACUAGAACCACGCAGGUUCUAGAAGAGCAGAGCUCUUGUAUCCACUAAGACCCAGACGCCUGGACCUACUGAUGUCGGUCGCUCCUAUGGAUCCAUCACCGACACGUUCCUGAACAAGGUUCGUCCUUAGCGGAGAACUCAGACAGUCCCAUACCUGAACUGUGACCGGUACAAUAUGUUUGCCGUCGUGACACCAAUAUAGAUGGAUAUAUGUUUGAAUCAAUGAUAGGAUCACUGAAAUAUUAGUUAAAGACAAUACACUCAUGAGUUUUCAUGAGUUCCUCCAAAAUACUCUGAUUCCGUCAACAAAUGGAUUAUGAGGAAAACACAUCCCUCUCUCAAGGAUCAACACAUGAUCAACAAGGAUCAAGGUGCAAUAAUAUUACUAGAUAAUCAAGGAAGACAACAAUAAGGCGAGAUCAAGGAGUUUAGCAAAGCAGCUACUUGCCUAGAUAUUAGAAAUUAUUCUUCAUGGCAUCAGAUAAAUAUUUCCUCCGAUCGACCGCCGAUAUAUAACGCCGCAUCAGUUAUCAUAGUAUAUUUAUGUUCUACACAUAGCAUAUACAACUUGAUUAUCCCUUCUAUGCAGUGGAUGCAACAUCUCCUCCUCGCUCUGCCCUCUCAUCUGAACUCAGGUUCUAUGCGUCUCUCUCCUUCUCCCAAUAGUGUGUGAGGUGCGAAGUGAGCAGCAGCAACAAACAACUAUAUAUAGGGAGCGAGCACAGUCUAAGCACACUCAAAUAUCUAGCCGCAGUGACCCUUUGGCCCUUGACCCUUUAGGUUGACCUUUCGAGUUGUGUAAAACUCACUAGCCGUGGCCCCUUCUAGUGAAGAAAAGCGACUGCCCUUGAAUCUGGCCGUGCAUCAACUUCCACGUAAACCACGUGAGCUUCCUAGCCAUUUAUGUGCUGCCAGCACAUGCAUGCAUCUGCCCACGUUUGCUUCCAUUCCUCUCCUGUACGUGUAGUAGGUUCACUAGAGUUUUCUCAGCACCUGACACAUGCAUGCAUAUCCUCUAUAACCAAGCCACGUUGCCUCUUCCUCAUGAUUACAUGCAUGUACCUAGUUGAUUUGGAGCACUAGUACUAGGAAAUAUCCACCAAGUAUCAUUUCUACCUGACCCAAUUCCAUCUAGUCUAAUUCCGUGUUAACUCCCUUAAUUAUCUAGAUUAUACUACCAUCUAUUACCACAUACAAACACCACCAUGUGAGUGCAAGGAUGCUAGACUCACGUGCACAAAUGCACACCUUAUCUGAUUGUGUGGUUAUUCCAUCUAAUUUUUAUUGCAGGGAGAAAAAUACAUGUCUAUUAUAUUUCUUUGAAACAGUGCUCAAUCAUUUAUUUAAACAAAUAAUACAGAUUGAAUUAUUCAUCUUAACUUAAGAACAUAAAAUAAUAACCCUAAAAAUCUGGGUUAUUACAUCCUUCCCCCCUUAUAAGAAUUUCGUCCUCGAAAUUCAACACUAACAUCUUUUUUUUGGGGAGUCAAAUUCCCUCCAAUCAUAUUUGGGACAAUUUAUUUGAUGCAUGCUCAAUAAUUACUUAGAAAUAAUGCAACCAAGAUUUGCAAUAUUUUCUACAAUUCAUAGAUAUAUCUGCUAUGACAUAAGAUUUUUUUUGAAAGAAUUGACAGUGGGAGAGCACUCCCACUGUGAUUUAUAUAUAUCUAUAUAAAUGGGGUGUUUACAUAGACAUAUACAACGCCAAACACAACCAACCAACCACCACCCCUCCCAUGGCUUAGGGGAGAGGCAAACUACCAGUCCUCCACGGGGGGAACCAAGAGAGAAAAGAGCCAACAAGGAUCAACCUAGAGUGUUACAAAGGUUUACAAAUGAGCCUCUAUGGGCCUCCUUGAUUCUAUAUUGUAGCUGACCCAGGUCGUUUUUGAAGCGUGACAGCCAGGACCCAAUGGUAGGGUCAACUCCUCGGAAGUGCUUGUUAUUCCUCUCCUUCCAUAUGCUCCACGCAGCAGUGAGAAAAACUUCCAUGAAGAAUGGGUCAGGCCACGAGUCUCUGUUUAAUCUGAUGGUAGUGAGACGGUUAUCAAAAGUGGGCCAAUGAAUGCUAAGCUUGGUCCAGCAGAUCUUGCUAAAAUCACAAGUGAAGAUCAUUUGGUCCACCGUUUCUUCAAUUGGCAGCCCGCAAAGAAGGCAAUUAAAAUCGUCACCAAUGUUGUAGUGCCUCCGUUUCAAAAAUGCUAUAACAUAAGUUGGUAACACUAAACAUUUUAUUUGGUAAGGUCAUUAACAAACAUUAACAAAAAUGAUAGAUGGUGAUAUAGCAAUUGUCCCAUUACUAGAUAAAUAUCACCAGUUGUCUUAAACAAGAAAAUAUACACAAAUAACAAGUCAUGAGUUAACAAAAUGUCUAUUCAUUUCCCAUGCAUCCUCAACUUUCACCAAUAAUAUGUAUGCUAUAUUUUUAUUUGCCUGGAUAUUUGUCAACAAUAGUAAUGAGUAACAACACACAAACUAGUUAAGACAAGAUAUGAAAAUAAAAUCUUCAUACCUGUCACACAACACAAAUAUAUUCGAUGAUCUACCCGUUUAUCCCAACGCAACCUAAACCUGGCUCUGAUAUCACUUUAACUGUCACACCCCAAGACCGAGCCUAGGCGAGACAGCCGGCGCGCGCCUAUAGACCAGAGGCCUAUAGUCACGCAAGGCGUGAUAAAGCAGGCAUUAACCAAUAGUGGAUCACAAAAGCUCAUAUAUUAACUAUACAAAUUCCUUUACAUUUACAGAUAGCCAAAAUAAAUGAUAUUCUCUAGUCGUUUCCCACCCAUUGGUCCAACCUAUUAUUCGACGACAUCUUCUCGGCAUGCUUAAGUUACAUUGUCUGCAUCUAGAAAACAACGGAGAAAGCAAGGGUGAGUACGACAAGUCAUACUCAGCAAGUAGGUACUUCACUAUUCAACAAGAGUAGAAUUUAAGGAUAUUGAUACAGUAACAACGGGUUGACUAUAUCUAAAGGAGCAUAAAUAACGUGACAAAUUGUUGGAGCCAAUUUAAUUGAAAAUAGGUAAAAGAACAACAUAACCGGAUAUAAUGAAAAUGGACCAAGAAAUUAUUGGCGUCACACAUGACCGCAAGCUUCC